AAAUGGGAACAGCGGCUUAAGCCAUUAGGUGUAGGCGCUUUCCAGAGGUGGAAGAUUUACGUUCUUCCUAUUUGACCUGAAACCGAUCGAUCUAGCCAUGAGCAGGUUGAAGAGAGCUCUAACAGGCCUUGGAGGACCAAACCCAUGUAUGUGGCAAAAUACGGGGAUGACUUGUGGCUAGGGGUGAAGGCCAACCAAGAUCGGAUAUAGCUGGUUUUCCGCGAAAUCUAUUUCAGUAGAGCGUAUGAUGUCCAUGGACCAAGGUAGAGCACUCAAUGGGCUAGGGUGGCCCCCAUUUCGCUUUACCAACCCCAGGGAAACUCCGAAUACAGGCCGUCAUCCUUAGUACAGACAGACUGAUUGGGUGCUAAGAGCCAAAGUCGAGAGGGAAACAGCCCAGAUCGCAUGCUAAGGUCCCUAAGUAAUCACUUAGUGGAAAAGGAAGUGAUCGAGCGAUGACAACUAAUCCAGGGGCCAAGACGGAUCACUAGUAAUGGGUUUGGAGAUUACAUAGGUUAUUGAUUACAUAAACGUCAUGAUCUAUUAUUUUUGGUCAACUACAUCAAUAUUCUGAAAUACCAGCAACCCGAAGGUAGCAUAUCACUAAGAAA
rnacentral:ncRNA from 1 species